rnacentral:rRNA from 1 species
AACCUGGUUGAUCCUGCCAGUAGUCAUAUGCUUGUCUCAAAGAUUAAGCCAUGCAUGUCUAAGUUUAAGCGUUUAGUACAGCGAGACUGCGGAUGGCUCAUUAAGUCAGUUAUAGUUUAUUUGAUGGUCGACUUUUUUUACUACAUGGAUAACCGUGGUAAUUCUAGAGCUAAUACAUGCGCAAAGUCCUAACUAGUGUAGCAAUACAAUUGGAAAGGAUGUAUUUAUUAGAUUAAAAACCAAUACAGGUUUCGGCCUGACAAACAUUGGUGAUUCAUAAUAACUCAAACGAAUCGCAAUUAAUAACCUUUACGGGUUGGCGAUAGUUCAUUCAAAUUUCUGCCCUAUCAACUUUGGAUGGUAGUAUAGAGGACUACCAUGGUGAUCACGGGUAACAGAGAAUUAGGGUUCGAUUCUGGAGAGGAAGCCUGAGAAACGGCUACCACUUCUAAGGAAGGCAGCAGGCGCGCAAAUUACCCAAUCCCGACACGGGGAGGUAGUGACAAUAAAUAACAAUACAGGUCUAUUUACAUAGUCGUGUAAUUGGAAUGAGAGCAAAGUAAAUACCUCAGCGAGUAACAAUUGGAGGGCAAGUCUGGUGCCAGCAGCCGCGGUAAUUCCAGCUCCAAUAGCGUAUAUUAAAGUUGUUGCAGUUAAAGAGCUCGUAGUUGGAUCUUGAAGUACUUACUAUGAACAUUUGGUCCGUUCGUCAAGAAUGAGCACUGAUGUUGGUACUUCCAUAUUUUAUCAGUUUCAACCUCUGUUAUUUAGUUAAUGGAAGGAAUCAAUUGAACUGAUACAUUUACUUUGAAAAAAUUAGAGUGUUCAAAGCAGACAAGUUAUUGUCAUUGAAUAGUUCAGCAUGGGAUAAUAGAAUAAGAUUAUGUUUUAAUUUUGGUUGGUUUCUUACAACAUAAUAAUGAUUAAUAGGAAUGGUCGGGGGCAUUGGUAUUUAGUUGUCAGAGGUGAAAUUCAUAGAUUUACUGCAGACCAACAACGGCGAAAGCAUUUGUCAAGGACAUUUUCAUUAAUCAAGAACGAAAGUUUGGGGAUCGAAGACGAUCAGAUACCGUCGUAGUCCAAACCAUAAACUAUGUCGACCAAGGAUCGGAAGGUGUUAAGUUUCAAUGACUCUUUCGGCACUUUGUGAGAAAUCACAAGUUUUUGGAUCCUGGGGGGAGUAUGGUCACAAGGCAGAAACUUAAAGGAAUUGACGGAAGGGCACACCAGAUGUGGAACCUGCGGCUUAAUUUGACUCAACACGGGAAAACUCACCAGGUCCAGACAUUAUAAGGAUUGACAGAUUAAAGCUCUUUCUUGAUUCUAUGGGUGGUGGUGCAUGGCCGUUCUUAGUUCGUGGAGUGAUUCGUCUGGUUAAUUCCGAUAACGAACGAGACCUUAACCUGCUAACUAGUUAUGUUGAUUCUGCUAUUAAAAACCAUUUACUUUUCAGGUUCAUUACUUGUAGUGGAUUGGGAUUGGAACUGGCAGUUGAAUCGAUAGCAAUACUUCUUAGAGGGACUAUCAGGCAAUACAACUGGGGGAAGCGUAAGGCAAUAACAGGUCUGUGAUGCCCUUAGAUGUUCUGGGCUGCACGCGCGUUACACUGACUAAAACAAAAAGUACAUACAACCUGAGGGGAUAGCUUUGGGGAAUCUUUGAACUUUAGUCGUGCUGGGGAUAGAUCAUUGGAAUUAUUGGUCUUCAACGAGGAAUAUCUAGUAAGUGUAAGUCAUUAACUUACGCUGACUACGUCCCUGCCCUUUGUACACACCGCCCGUCGCUCCUACCGAUUGGAUGAUGUGAUGAAACUCUCAGAGAUUGAUUUGUCACAUUAGUUGAGCAAUCGAUUAAUGAAAUCUGAUCAAAGAGAUUUGAAUCUUAUUAUCUAGAGGAAGGAGAAGUCGUAACAAGGUAUCUGUAGGUGAACCUGCAGAAGGAUCA